CGUACACUCCUACGGGAGGCAGCAGUGGGGAAUAUUGCACAAUGGGCGCAAGCCUGAUGCAGCGACGCCGCGUGGGGGAUGAAGGCCUUCGGGUUGUAAACUCCUUUCGCUAGGGACGAAGCUUUUUUGUGACGGUACCUAGAUAAGAAGCACCGGCUAACUACGUGCCAGCAGCCGCGGUAAUACGUAGGGUGCGAGCGUUGUCCGGAAUUACUGGGCGUAAAGGGCUCGUAGGUGGUUUGUCGCGUCGUCUGUGAAAUUCUGGGGCUUAACUCCGGGCGUGCAGGCGAUACGGGCAUAACUUGAGUGCUGUAGGGGUAACUGGAAUUCCUGGUGUAGCGGUGAAAUGCGCAGAUAUCAGGAGGAACACCGAUGGCGAAGGCAGGUUACUGGGCAGUUACUGACGCUGAGGAGCGAAAGCAUGGGUAGCGAACAGGAUUAGAAACCCCAGUAGUCCC
rnacentral:rRNA from 1 species